GACGAACGCUGGCGGCGUGCUUAACACAUGCAAGUCGAACGGAAAGGCCCUGCUUUUGUGGGGUGCUCGAGUGGCGAACGGGUGAGUAACACGUGAGUAACCUGCCCUUGACUUUGGGAUAACUUCAGGAAACUGGGGCUAAUACCGGAUAGGAGCUCCUGCUGCAUGGUGGGGGUUGGAAAGUUUCGGCGGUUGGGGAUGGACUCGCGGCUUAUCAGCUUGUUGGUGGGGUAGUGGCUUACCAAGGCUUUGACGGGUAGCCGGCCUGAGAGGGUGACCGGCCACAUUGGGACUGAGAGACGGCCCAGAAUCCAACGGGAGGCAGCAGUGGGGAGUAUGGCACAAUGGGCGGAAGCCUGAGGCAGCAACGCCGCGUGCGGGAUGACGGCCUUCGGGUUGUAAACCGCUUUCGCCUGUGACGAAGCGUGAGUGACGGUAAUGGGUAAAGAAGCACCGGCUAACUACGUG
rnacentral:rRNA from 1 species